CGGAGAGACAGUAGCCACACUCAUCAUGAUGAUCAAGAAAUUGAAUUUAUUUAUAACAAUUCUUCACAGUUAAAUCAAAGAACUGAACGAAAACUAUUACACAAGAGUCUAGUCUAGAGAAAACUGAAUCAAAUACAUAAAACAAACACAGUGAAUGUGAAAGAAAACAAGGAAAGAAGAACCCUUGCUUGCUUGUUUAGCCUUGUGCCGUCACCUCUGAUCUUCUUCGUUCGGUGCUGCGCGGCUUGAGCUCGUCGUCAAUUGUAUUCCGAUGAUGAGAAUACGGCGAAUUGAAGAAAGAUCGGAGAAAUUUAGGGUUUUCUGGUAAAAGAGAGAGAGAAAUUAGAAUGGCAGAGGAGUGAGGAGAAAAGGAAAGCGGUCAAGUCGUGUUAUAUAUAGGCGAGGAGAGGCGAGGCGAGUAAGGGUGCGUCUGGAGUACGCUGGGCGUAGAGAAGACGCG
rnacentral:lncRNA from 1 species